rnacentral:rRNA from 1 species
UAGGGAAUCUUCGGGGCAAUGGACGAAAGUCUGACCGAGCAACGCCGCGUGAGUGAAGAAGGUUUUCGGAUCGUAAAACUCUGUUGGUAGAGAAGAACGUUGGUGAGAGUGGAAAGCUCAUCAAGUGACGGUAACUACCCAGAAAGGGACGGCUAACUACGUGCCAG